GGCAGUAUGGUGCAGUGGUUAGCAUCUUCCUUGUGGCUGAUGCCUCGAAGGAGUCUUGGUUUGACUCCAAGACUGCCA